rnacentral:rRNA from 1 species
GUGUCAGCAGCCGCGGUAAUACGGAGGGUGCAAGCGUUGUUCGGAAUUACUGGGCGUAAAGGGCGUGUAGGCGGCUUGGUAAGUCGGUAGUGAAAUCCUGCGGCUCAACUGCAGAAUGGCUAUCGAUACUGCCUCGCUUGAGUACGGGAGAGGAAAGCGGAAUUCCCAGUGUAGAGGUGAAAUUCGUAGAUAUUGGGAAGAACAUCGGUGGCGAAGGCGGCUUUCUGGACCGAUACUGACGCUGAGACGCGAAAGCGUGGGGAGCAAACAGGAUUAGAAACCCCCGUAGUCC